GCCGAAGUGGCGGAAUUGGCAGACGCGACGGAUUCAAAAUCCGUUUCCGUAACAGGAGUGGGGGUUCGAGUCCCCCCUUCGGCA
rnacentral:tRNA from 1 species